AUGAGAUGUGGCGAGAGAUUUUGGAAGCAUGGCAACAAACUGCUAGCUCCCACGUUAAACCGGCCAGUGAUUACUAUGCGCCUCCAUGACUGGGCAACUUUGAGAAAGGUCAAUCUCAAGAAGCCAAAGGUGAGAGAGGCGCCGCACACACAAGAUCCAACAGAGAGAUUUGGCUAUGAUGGUCAUCGCACGGCACUAUUCAAUUCAUCAGUAGGAAAGCAGAGUUGCCACAAGCAUCAACUUAAUUUUCCUAGCAAAAUCCAAGAUCCAGCAGAGAGAUUUGGCUAUGAUAUUUUCCUAGUAAAAUCGCCACUAAAUAACAGGGAACACGCUCAUCACAUAGCAGUAUUCAAUUCAGUAUGA
rnacentral:rRNA from 1 species